GUGUAUUUAAAAAGAAAAAGGAAAGUCGUACAAUCAAAUACACAGGAUAAAACCCCUGAUUUGCAAUCCUAUAAUGAAAAAAAAACAAAAGUGUACAACCGCUCUUGUCUUUCAAACUGCUUCACUGUAUACCUUAACAUUUGGUAAAGAGGCUCUAAAGUUGUAAAUAUAUUAAAUAGAAAAUUCCAGGAUGGUACUGUGCACCUAGUUUGCUGUAUAAAUUGCUGUAUUUACAGUAUAAAUCAUAUGCCUAAGACAGGUAAAUUUAGGCACAAAAUGACCACAUGUAUAUCCAUACAUAAUUUUAAAAAACCUGGAUUUAGGAUUAGAAUAUUGAAUCUGGCAGGAAGAAACUGAAGCUCACCGGAUUUUUCAUUCCUGUAGUAACAGCAUUUUAUUUUUGUCCCUUGCAAUAUAAAUGAGUUUAGUGUGUCCAACAUGUGAAAUACCUUUAGGACAGAACUGACUUUCCUAAAUUAAAGGAGAGAUGGAUGGAACCAUUGAGUUCAUGAUCAUGCAACCACUUUGACUUCUCUCCAGAGCAUGCAGUACUUAGGAAAAGAAUGUAAACUGCAAAUUAAACCCUCAGUUAUCCUCAGCAACCUGACAGUCUGGCCCAAGAAAUACCGCUAAGUCCAGCAGAUUGGGAAAGUGCUGUGUUCAUCGCACAGAGGUGUGAAGAAAGUGGCCCGCCCAAGCUCAUCUCACAGGGCACAGCUGGUGAACUGUACACAACAAGGGGAAACAAGCAGGCUUUGGGGGAGGAGGUUGGCUGAUAAAGAAAACAUCCAGUUCUGUACCAGUAACACACGUGGUCUUCUGUACCAGUUUCUCCUUGCAUGGGAAAGACAAAGAUGGAAGAAUAGAAAUAUAUGAUAAAGUGAGCACCUGACUGAAAGUAGAUAUGAAUUGAAAAAUCAGAGCUUGAUCUCACAAAGCAAGUAAAAUGUGGAAACGAGAUUUGCCCUUCACUCCACUGCUACGGCUAGCUGAAAAGAUUCAGAUACCAACCAGCACCACACUGAUAUUUAGAAGUUAAUAAGUAACUGCCACAGCUGCAACUGAAACACCAACCUACGCACAGCACUUCACAGCACGUUCCUUUAAAUACAGCUAUAAGCAUGUCACACUGA
rnacentral:lncRNA from 1 species